AACUGCUUUCAAAACUGCAUCCCUUGAGUAUCGGAGAGGCAAGCGGAAUUCCUAGUGUAGCGGUGAAAUGCGUAGAUAUUAGGAGGAACACCAGUGGCGAAGGCGGCUUGCUGGACGACAACUGACGCUGAGGCGCGAAAGCGUGGGGAGCAAACAGGAUUAGAUACCCUGGUAGUCCACGCUGUAAACGAUGAAUACUAGGUGUGGGAGGACUGACCCCUUCCGUGCCGCAGUUAACACAAUAAGUAUUCCACCUGGGGAGUACGACCGCAAGGUUGAAACUCAAAGGAAUUGACGGGGGCCCGCACAAGCAGUGGAUUAUGUGGUUUAAUUCGACGCAACGCGAAGAACCUUACCAGGGUUUGACAUCCAACUAACGAAGUAGAGAUACAUUAGGUGCCCUUCGGGGAAAGUUGAGACAGGUGGUGCAUGGUUGUCGUCAGCUCGUGUCGUGAGAUGUUGGGUUAAGUCCCGCAACGAGCGCAACCCCUAUUGUUAGUUGCUACGCAAGAGCACUCUAGCGAGACUGCCGUUGACAAAACGGAGGAAGGCGGGGACGACGUCAAAUCAUCAUGCCCCUUAUAUCCUGGGCUACACACGUAAUACAAUGGUGGUUAACAGAGGGAAGCAAAACAGUGAUGUGGAGCAAAUCCCUAAAAGCCAUCUCAGUUCGGAUUGCAGGCUGCAACUCGC
rnacentral:rRNA from 1 species